GUUCUUUCUAAGGUAUUUUCGCCCUGGAGCGGGAUUGAAUAUUAUAUUUAUAGAUGUAUAUAGUUGACUGGAUUCCUGAUAAAUAUUAUUAAAUAACUGUCCAAAAAAUGAUGUUUGAAUGCAAUUUCAAUGAAUGUUUACUGAUCUUAACUUACUUAAUAUCGCUGUUGAUGAACCUGCUGAAUUAAGUUAUAGCGAUGUAAAGAAUCAUGUUCAUUUAAAAAAAAUAGUCAACACAGUAGGCCGAGCACGUGAGUCGACUUUGUGUGUAGAGCAAAUCGAUGCUUUUGUCGGAUUUACGGUGUGUUAAAGGUGUUAUUUCGAUACUGGAUUAGUUAUUGUGUACAUGAAAGUUCUGAACGUGGAACGUUGUCCCGAAGAACUGGGAAUGAAAUAAGCUGGACAGUGACUGCUGGAAGCUGUACUGUGUCUGUGGGUGGGGAACUUGCAAUGAUGUUUCGGGUAGAAUUUCCGCUUCGGUCUGGUGUUGUUCCGGCUGGCUAGUGGACUGCGUUGACGAAAAUGUGGCCGUGCUGAUGAGUGUUUUCUACCUUAAAUUGGUUCUGCAUUUUUACCAUGGGAGGCAGCAGAGCUUGUCCAACAAAAACGAUCAUCAUGAAAUGGAGUGCGCCUCGACAAAGACCCUGACAGUGCCUCGGGCCAGGAGAGGGGCUGAUAAGUGGGGGAAUCAGACGGCUAGAAGAGACUGGUCACAUGUUGGUCCACACCACUUCCGCUGUCUCAAUUGGUUACCUGUCAGCAAACGUGUUGACCAGAUUAGCCUUUGUCAUGUUUUCAAGGUCAAAAAUGGGUUAGCUCCUGAUUAUAUGGCAGAGUCGUUUAUCCCCCAGGAUUCUGUUCAUUCAUAUAAGACAAGAUCAUGUAGUAGGGGUGCUUUUCAAUUCCAAAGGUCAAAGGUUUUGGUCCCAAGUCCUUCUGCUCUCUUGGUUGCUCCGUGUGGAACAGCCUACCAGCUGACAUAUCCAGUAUUGGAAGGUUACCUUCAUUCAAAAUAGCAUAUAAGAAGUACCUGAUGGACAGUUUAUAAUUUUCUCAUUUGUAUAUCAUUAUUAUCUAUGUAUCAUUAUUGUUU